ensembl:lncRNA
GUUCUAGGGUACAUGUGCACAACACGCAGGUUUGUUACAUAUGUAUACAUGUGCCAUGUUGGUGUGCUGUACCCAUUAACUCGUCAUUUACAUUAGUUAUAUCUCCUAAUACUAUCCCUCCCCACUCCCCCCUCCCCACAAUAGGACCUGGUGUGUGAUGUUACCCUUCCUGUGUCCAAGUGAUCUCCUUGUUCAAUUCCCACCUAUGAGUGAGAACAUGUGGUAUUUGGUUUUCUGUUUUUGUGAUAGUUUGCUGAGAAUGAUGGUUUCCAGCUGCAUCCAUGUCCCUACAAAGGACACGAACUCAUCCUUUUUUAUGACUACAUAGUAUUCCAUGGUGUAUAUGUGCCACAUUUUCUUAAUCCAGUCUGUCACUGAUGGACAUUUGGGUUGAUUCCAAGUCUUUGCUAUUGUGAAUAGUGCUGCAGUAAACAUUCAUAUUCAUGUGUCUUUAUAGCAGCAUGACUUAUAAUCCUUUGGGUAUAUCCCCAGUAAUGGGAUGGCUGGGUCAAAUGGUAUUUCUAGUUCUAGAUCCUUGAGGAAUCGCCACACUGUUUUCCACAAUGGUUGAACUAGUUUACAGUGCCACAAACAGUGUAAUAGUAUUCCACUACAGAAAACUGCUGAUAAGGUUUACUUUUCUCAGCAAAUAAGUCUGAAGAAAUAGCAAAGUCUCCAUUUCUCAUUUAUUGUUGCUCUGUUUCCACCUCCAUAUUUCUAUCCCACAAAGUCAGCCCUUCUUUUCUUUCCUUAGUGGGAAUACACAUUUUGAAACUGAAAAGACAUGAUAUCUUGGGAAGCAAGGAGAACUUGUUGGAGUCUUUGUUGCAGACAAUGCUUUAUGUGGUCUCAAGCUUGACAUACAAAAGAAAAAGAAGAAGGAAAGUGGCAGCACCCAAAAAAAGGAUCAAACAAAACUUGGCAAAAUACAGAACCAGGCAACACACAUUAGAAGCGCUAUUAAUAGCUAAUAUAUGAAAAUUUGUUCAACCUGGGGGAAAUGGAAUACAAAUUAGUCAAUAGGAAGCCGUUGGCCAGGCAUGGUGGCUCACGCCUGUAAUCCCAGCACAUCAGGAAGCUGAAGCAGGCUGAUCUCUUGAGCCCAGGAAUUUGAGACCAGCCUGGGCAAUAUGGUGAGGCCCCGUCUCUACUAAAUAUGCAAAAAAAAAAAAAAGCCAGGCAUGGUGGUGCACACCUGUGGUCUCAGCUACUUGGGAGGCUGAGGUGGGAGGAUCACCUGAACCUGGGGGGCAGAGGUUGCAGUGAGCAAGAUCACUGCCAUUGCACUCCAGCCUAGGUGACAGAGCGAGACUCCAUCUCAAAAAAGAAAAAAAGAAAAGAAAAAGUCACAAUGAGAUACCACCUCACACCCACUAGAAUGGCUGGAACUAAGAAGACAGGCAAUAACAAGUGUUCGUGAGGAUACAGAGAAAUUGAAACGCUCAUAUCCUGCUGAUAAGAAUGUAAAAUGGUACAGUCACUAUGGAAAAUUUGACAGUUUCUCAAAAAGUUUACACAGAGUUACUAUGUACAGCAAUUCCACUCCUAGAGAAACAGAAACAUAUGUCCACAAAAAAACUUAUCCACAAAUAUUCAUAACAGCAUUUCUCAUAACAGCCAAAAAGUGGAAACAACCCAGAUGUCCAUUAACUGAUGAACAGAUAAACAAAAUGUGAUAUAUCCAUUCAAUAGAAUAUUAUUCAGUCCUAAAAAGGAAUGAAGUACUGAUAUAAGCUACAACAUGGAUGAACCUUGAAAAUGUAUGCUAAGUGAAAGAAGCCAGAAACAAAAGGCCAUAUGCUGUAUGAUUCUGCUUAUGUGAAAUGUCCAAAGUAGGCAACCCUAUACAGACAGAAAGUAGAUUAGUUAUUGCCUAGUGCUAGGAGACUAGGAGUUGGGAGAAAGUAGAGUGACUGCUAAGGGGUACGUCGUUUCUUUUUGGAGUAAAGAAAGUGUUCUAAAAUUCAAGUGUGGCAAUGAUGGCACAUCUCUGUGAACAUACUAAAGACCAAUGAAUUGCAUACUUUAAACAGGUGGAUUUUAUGGUAUGUGAAUGAUAUUUCAAUAAAGCUGUAAUUUUUAAAAAUACGUUAUUGGUAAUGGUACUGGAUAACUGAUGUCUCCUAUACCCGUGGAAAUACACAGCCUUUCAGGAGGGCAGUUUCUCUUUGAAAAGGUAAAAUAUACAUAUGCUUUGAUAUAGAAAUUCCAAUUCUAGAUAUCUCUUCUGUUUGCACAUAUCUGCACAUAAUUACAAAAAUGUGUAUAAAGAUGUUUGUUGCAGGAUGUUGUAAUAGUUAAAUAUAGAAAUCAACCCAAAGACUCAUCAGUAGGAGAGUGAUUAAAUAGAUUAUGGUACUUUCAUGCUAUUGUUAAAGAACGAAAUUUUGUGCCUUGUCUUGAAAAAUAAAUCUAUGUAACAAACCUGCAUGUGCACCUCCUGAAUCUAAAAUAAAAGUUGAAAUUAAUUUUUAAAAAUAAUUUUAAAAUUAAAAAAUAAAACAAAUAUUUUAGAGACACAAAAUUUUUUAACUUGGUUCAACUGGCAAGAAGAAAAGCCUAUCUACAAUUCUGAGUCUAGAUAUUUUCUAUUGCCUGGGAAGAUAAUUUACAUAAUGUAUAUAUCAAUGUAUUAAUUAUAAGAAGAUGAGGGAGAUCAUAUUAAUGGGUAAAUUAUCACAAAGUUAAUGAAAAUUUUUAAUCUCCUGAACAAAUACAAUUCCAUGGAGCAAAUUAUAAUUUCCUACAAAAAGUCUACUCUGUAUUUACUUAAGUUUAUCGGUUAUAACCUUUAAUAGCUACUAUCACACAUUGAAAUUUCAAAGAAACAGGCCAAGUAUGGUGGCUCAUGCCUAUAAUCGCAGCACUUUAGGACUACUAAGUGGGAGGAUCACUUGAGCUGGGGAGUUUGAGACCAGCUAGGGCAACAUAGCGAGACCUCAUCUCUACAAGGUCUACUUUUUAAAAUAAUAAUUUUUAAAAAUUAUGGGCCGGGCGCAGUGGCUCAAGCCUGUAAUCCCAGCACUUUGGGAGGCCGAGACGGGCGGAUCACGAGGUCAGGAGAUCGAGACCAUCCUGGUUAAUACGGUGAAACCCCGUCUCUACUAAAAAGUACAAAAAACUAGCCGGGCGAGGUGGCGGGCGCCUGUAGUCCCAGCUACUUGGGAGGCUGAGGCAGGAGAAUGGCGUGAACCCGGGAGGCGGAGCUUGCAGUGAGCUGAGAUCUGGCCACUGCACUCCAGCCUGGGCGACAGAGCGAGACUCCGUCUCAAAAAAAUAAUAAAAAAAAUAAUAAAAAAAAAAAAUUAGCCAGGCAUGGUGGUGCACACAUCUGGUCCUAGCUACCAGGAAGGCUGAGGCAGGAAAAUUAUUUGAGUCUAGGAGGUUGAAACUACAGUGAGUGGUGAUUAUACCCUGCACUCCAGCUUGGGCAACAGAGUGAGACCCAUCUGAAAAAAUUAAAAAUGAAAAAACUAAAUUAAACUAACCUUAAAGAAUUUUUGGAUGCAAAUCUUGUCCAUUAUGUUCUUAGGAUCACCAAAUAUAAGCAUACUUUAUCGUCCUUCAUUUCCUUCCUUUUGGAAAUUAACUUGAUAAACAGCUUCAUCCUUUUGUUUUCUUCAAGAUUUUGUAUUAUAUACCAUUGAGACUUGAAAACUAUGGUUCUCUUUACUCUCAUUUUAAUAAAAGCUGAACUUUUGUUUAUAAUUUUUUA